rnacentral:miRNA from 1 species
GAAUGGAGGAUAAGGGAGGGAGGAGGAACAAAAGUGAAAACAAUUUCAAAUAUAUUUCAGUUUUUAGUUUUUGUUUUCACUUUUGUUACUCCUUCCUCUUAUCCUCUCUUUUC